UGCAGUCGAGGGGCAGCAUGAUUUGUAGCAAUACAGAUUGAUGGCGACCGGCGCACGGGUGAGUAACGCGUAUGCAACUUACCUAUCAGAGGGGGAUAGCCCGGCGAAAGUCGGAUUAAUACCCCAUAAAACAGGGGUCCCGCAUGGGAAUAUUUGUUAAAGAUUCAUCGCUGAUAGAUAGGCAUGCGUUCCAUUAGGCAGUUGGCGGGGUAACGGCCCACCAAACCGACGAUGGAUAGGGGUUCUGAGAGGAAGGUCCCCCACAUUGGUACUGAGACACGGACCAAACUCCUACGGGAGGCAGCAGUGAGGAAUAUUGGUCAAUGGCCGAGAGGCUGAACCAGCCAAGUCGCGUGAAGGAAGAAGGAUCUAUGGUUUGUAAACUUCUUUUAUAGGGGAAUAAAGUGGAGGACGUGUCCUUUUUUGUAUGUACCCUAUGAAUAAGCAUCGGCUAACUCCGUGCCAGCAGCCGCGGUAAUACGGAGGAUGCGAGCGUUAUCCGGAUUUAUUGGGUUUAAAGGGUGCGUAGGUGGUGAUUUAAGUCAGCGGUGAAAGUUUGUGGCUCAACCAUAAAAUUGCCGUUGAAACUGGGUUACUUGAGUGUGUUUGAGGUAGGCGGAAUGCGUGGUGUAGCGGUGAAAUGCAUAGAUAUCACGCAGAACUCCGAUUGCGAAGGCAGCUUACUAAACCAUAACUGAC
rnacentral:rRNA from 1 species